ACUUACUGUGUAGACCAGGCUGGCCUUAAACUCACAAAGAUCAGCCUGCCUCUGCCUCCUAAGUGCUAGGAU
rnacentral:miRNA from 14 species